rnacentral:lncRNA from 1 species
CUUGCUUAAACCCUGAGAUGGAUUAUACAAGUAGCUUGGGUGUUUUGUUAAUCUCUGUUGACUCCUUAGAUUUUUCUGGCUCCUUAGACUCGGUCUGAUCGGUCACUUGCUCAUGAGAUGAUUUAGACAAUGGAUCAUCUUGAUCUUCAACUGUACCGAUAUGUUUAUCUACUUAUUUUUCAGAUCUUAAGAUGUGAAUUACAUUUAAUUGGU